AGUUCGGAUUGUAGUCUGCAACCCGACUACAUGAAGCUGGAAUCGCUAGUAAUCGCAGGUCAGCAUACUGCGGUGAAUACGUUCCCGGGUCUUGUACACACCGCCCGUCACACCAUGGGAGCCGGAAAUGCCCGAAGCCAGUGACCCAACCUUAGGGAGGGAGCUGUCGAAGGUGGAGCCGGUAACUGGGGUGAAGUCGUAACAAGGUAGC
rnacentral:rRNA from 1 species